UUGGGAAGAGGUGAAAAAGGCACGUUAGAAACUGAAAGAGCCCUGCAAAGCUAAUCUGCUCAACCUUCACCUACUGGGUUCAAUGAAUAUGAAAAGCUGCCUUCCUGAAACUUUUCCUUCAAAGAGGGAAUGAUCUCCUGGAAUUCAAGCUUCUACAGGGUGGCUACCUGGUGUUUUCCACUUUUGCCGUCUCCUAAAAAGCAUCAAUCAAGCCUUGCCCUUUCAACCCACUGAACACAUAAACAUGCUUUCUCCUUAACUGAACUUAUGGCCACGAUGAACUUGAACUCUGAGAUUCACAGAGGAGAGUUUGUUUUAACAGCUGCUUUUACAAUGAAGCCCUGGAGUUACUACUCUCAAGACCCCUGGUUCUGAUAGGCCAUCUUUUCACUGUCCUCUGCAUUUUCUAAUGCCCAGCUGUCAAGGAACACCCACUGAAGUUUUCCAAAACAAAGGCACGAAACACAAGAAAGGCAAGAGAAUGCUAAUCACCAGAGGCAUGGGCAUCCUAUGGGGGAACCCCUUACA
rnacentral:antisense_RNA from 1 species